AGCGGCGAACGGGACAGUAAUGUGUAGGUACCUACCCCUGGGACCGGGAUAGCUGCGGGAAACUGCAGGUAAUACCGGAUAACGUCUCAGGACCAAAGGUAUGAUUCCACCUGGGGAGGGGCCUGCAUCCUAUUAGCUUGUUGGUGGGGUAACGGCUCACCAAGGCAACGAUGGGUAGCGGGUGUGAGAGCACGACCCGCGUCAUUGGGACUGACUGCCCAGACACCUACGGGUGGCUGCAGUCGAGGAUCUUCGGCAAUGGGGGAAACCCUGACCGAGCGACGCCGCGUGUGGGAUGAAGGCCCUCGGGUUGUAAACCACUGUCAACGGGGAGGAAAUGCAGGUGGGUUCUCCCAUCUGUUUGACCUAUCUGUGGAGGAAGUACGGGCUAAGUUCGUGCCAGCAGCCGCGGUAAGACGAACCGUACAAACGUUACUCGGAAUUACUGGGCUUAAAGGGUGCGUAGGCUGCGCGGAAAGUUGGGUGUGAAAGCCCUCAGCUCAACUGAGGAAUUGCACUCAAAACUACCGUGCUCGAGGGAGACAGAGGUAAGCGGAACUCAAGGUGGAGCGGUGAAAUGCGUUGAUAUCUUGAGGAACACCGGUGGCGAAGGCGGCUUACUGGGUCUCUUCUGACGCUGAGGCACGAAAGCUAAGGUAGCAAACGGGAUUAGAUACCCCGGUAGUCUUAGCUGUAAACGAUGAGCACUUGUUUGAAGGGUCCUCCAUAGCCUUUCAGACGUAGCGAAAGUGUUAAGUGCUCCGCCUGGGGAGUAUGGUCGCAAGGCUGAAACUCAAGAAAUUGACGGGGGCUCACACAAGCGGUGGAGGAUGUGGCUUAAUUCGAGGCUACGCGAAGA
rnacentral:rRNA from 1 species